CCUACGGGUGGCUGCAGUGGGGAAUCUUGCGCAAUGGGCGAAAGCCUGACGCAGCGACGCCGCGUGAGCGAUGAAGGCCUUCGGGUUGUAAAGCUCUGUGGGGAGAGAAGAAUAAGUCUUGGCUAAUAUCCACAGAUGAUGACGGUAUCUCCUUAGCAAGCACCGGCUAACUCUGUGCCAGCAGCCGCGGUAAGACAGAGGGUGCAAACGUUGUUCGGAAUCACUGGGCGUAAAGCGUGCGUAGGCGGUCUCGUAAGUCGGAUGUGAAAGCCCUGGGCUCAACCCAGGAAGUGCACUCGAUACUGCGAGACUUGAGUACUGGAGAGGUUGGUGGAAUUCUCGGUGUAGAGGUGAAAUUCGUAGAUAUCGGGAAGAACACCGGUGGCGAAGGCGGCCAACUGGACCGAUACUGACGCUGAGGCACGAAAGCGUGGGGAGCAAACAGGAUUAGAUACCCGAGUAGUC
rnacentral:rRNA from 1 species